UUUUUCGGUGGUGAUAGCGAAGAGGACACACCCGUACCCAUCCCGAACACGGAAGUUAAGCUCUUCAGCGCCGAUGGUACUGCACGGGAAACUGUGUGGGAGAGUAGGACGCCGCCGAAAAUC
rnacentral:rRNA from 1 species